rnacentral:lncRNA from 1 species
AUGUUCACCAACUGUUGAUCGUUCUCAACCAACCAUAAAGAUAUCAGGACAUUAUACUUGCUAUUCGGUGCCUGAGCAGGGAUAGCAGGUACAGCCUUAAGCCUCCUUAUUUGAGCGGAACUGGGCCAACCAGGUACUCUACUAGGUGAUGAUCAAAUUUACAAUGUCAUCAUUACCGCUCAUGCAUUUCUUAUAAUUUUCUUUAUAGUAAUACCAAUAAUAACUGGAGGUUAAUCCCUCUGAUAAUUGGCGCCCCUGACAUAGCAUUUCCCCGGAUAAAUAAUAUGAGUUUCUGACUCCUCCCACCCUCUUUCCUGCUAUUACUUGCAUCCACUAUAGUAGAGGCCAGCACUGGAACCGGCUAACAGUCUACCCCGCCUUAGCAGGAAACCUAACACAUGCGGGAGCCCCUGUAGAUUUAACCAUCUUCUCACUCCAUUUGGCAGGUGUCUCUUCUAUUUUAGGGGCCAUUAACUUUAUUACCACAAUUAUUAAUAUAAAACCUCCAGCCACGUCCCAAUAUCACACACCCCUUUUGGUCUGAUCAGUCCUAACUACAGCAGUUCUACUCCUUUCUCUCCCAGUCCUAGCCGCCAGCAUUAUUAUACUAUUAACAGACGGCAAUCUUAAUACUACUUUUUUCGACCCAGCUGGUGGAGGUGAUCCUAUCUUAUAUCAGCACUUAUUCUGAUUCUUUGAUCACCCUGAAGUCUAUAUCCUCAUCCUACUGGGCUUCAGGAUAAUUUCCCAUAUCGUAACAUACUACUCUGGGAAAAAAGAGCCAUUUGGGUAUAUGGGCAUAGUGUAGGCCAUAAUAUCAAUUGGCUUCUUAGGGUUUAUCGUAUGGGCUCACCACAUAUUUACAGUAGGAACAGAUGUAGAUACAUGAGCAUACUUCACCUCUGCUACUAUAAUUAUUGCUAUUCCUACUCAUGUCAAAGUCUUUAGCUGAUUAGCUACAUUACAUGGCGGUAACAUCAAAUGAUCUCCCGCAAUACUCUGAGCCCUGGGAUUUAUUUUCCUUUUUACAGUAGGAGGUUUAACCGGCAUUGUACUAGCCAAUUCAUAACUAGAUAUUGUUUUACAUGAUACAUAUUAUGUUGUAGCCCAUUUCCAUUAUGUCUUAUCAAUAGAAGCCAUAUUUGCUGUUAUAGAAGGCUUUGUCCACUGAUUCCCCCUAUUUUCAGGUUAUACACUCAAUCAAAUCUAUGCUAAAACUCACUUUGCCAUCAUAUUUAUAGGUGUCAAUUUAACUUUUUUCCCCGCAGCAUUUCCGCAGCCUAUCCAGUAUGCCUCGCCAUUACUCCAAUUAUCCCGGUGCAUACACCGCAUGAGAUACUAUUUCAUUCGUAGGCUCAUUUAUUUCCCUAACAGCAGUAACGCUAAUAAUUUUCAUGAUCUGAGAAGGCUUCGCUUCAAAACGAAAAGUUCUAACAAUUGUGCAACCAUCUACCAACUUAGAAUGACUAUAUGGCUGUCCACCACCCUAUCACACAUUCGAAGAACCAACCUACAUGAAGACC